rnacentral:rRNA from 1 species
CGGUAAUUCCAGCUCCAAUAGCGUAUACUAAAGUUGUUGCAGUUAAAAAGCUCGUAGUUGGAUUUCUGCGGGGACGGAGCGGCCGGACGCAACUUGCGUCUCGAGCUAGCGCUUUCCCCACAUCCUGCCGCGAGCCGUGCUACCAUUAGUUUGGUGGCGCUGGGGAUCGGCUCGAUUACUUUGAGAAAAAUAGAGUGUUCAAAGCAGGCCACACGCCUUGAAUAAGUUAGCAUGGAAUAAUGACUAAGGACUUUGGUUCUUUUCGUUGGUGUUCGGGACUGAAGUAAUGAUUGAUAGGGACAGUUGGGGCGGUCCGUAUUCCAAAGCGAGAGGUGAAAUUCUUAGACCUUCGGAAGACGAACAGCUGCGAAAGCGUUCCGCAAGGAUGUUCCCUUUGAUCAAGAACGAAAGUUGGGGGAUCGAAGACGAUCAGAUACCGUCGUAGUCUCAACUAUAAACUAUACCAGCUAGGGAUCGGCCAACGUUUAAUUAUUCGACUUGGUCGGCACCUUAUGAGAAAUCAAAGCAUCUGGGUUCCGGGGGGAGUAUGGUCGCAAGGCUGAAACUUAAAGGAAUUGACGGAAGGGCACCACCAGGCGUGGAGCCUGUGGCUUAAUUUGACUCAACACGGGAAAACUUACCAGGUCCAGACAUAGGAAGGAUUGACAGAUUGAUAGCUCUUUCUUGAUUCUGUGGGUGGUGGUGCAUGGCCGUUUUUAGUCGGUGAAGUGAUUUGUCUGCUUAAUUGCGUUAACGGACGAGACCCCAGCCUGCUAAAUAGCGCGGUCGAGCUUUGCUCGGCACGAGCUUCUUAGAGGGACCAUGAUGCGCGAUAGCACAAGGAAGUUUGGGGCAACAACAGGUCUGUGAUGCCCUUAGAUGUUCUGGGCCGCACACGGGCUACACUGGCGCCUGCAACGAGCAUAUCAGCUGGCCCGAGAGGGUCCUGGCUAAUCUUUGGAACCGGCGCCGUGCUUGGGAUUGACCAUUGCAAUUGUUGGUCAUGCAACGAGGAAUGCCUUGUAAACGCGAGUCAUCAGCUCGCAUUGAAUACGUCCCUGCCCUUUGUACACACCGCCC